AAUCCCUGACCCCCGCCGCCCACCCCCCGCCGCCGCGCCGUCUGACCCCCGCCGCCGCCGCCGCCGGCCUCUGCUCUCUCCCUCUCGCCACCCUCAUGCUUUCUCUCUCUCUCUCUCCCUCUGCUCUUUCCCUCUCUGCUCUCUCCCUCUGUUCCUCCUCGUCCACCACCUCCCACCACCGCUGACGGCGGCGCCUCCACCCCCACACCCUUCUCCGCCAUGGGAAACUGCAACGUCUUAUCCGAGCUCCCGAAGCCGACCUCCCAACUAGUCAAACUCAAUUGCUUUCUCAAGAACCUCGUCCAUGCCCACAGAUUCACCGACGCCCUCCAUCUCUUCCAACAAAUCCAUUCACUCCGCCGCCUCAAACCCGACCACUACACUCUCUCCACCGCCCUCACCGCCUGCGCCAACUCCCGCCAAAUCAGAGUGGGCGUUCAAUUCCACGCCCUCUGCGUUAAAUCCGCCCUUCAAAGCUUUCCCACGUUGCCAAUGCCCUGCUUUCCUUCUACUCCAAGACGCGGNACCCCAUACACUAAUCAAAAGCACUAAUAACACAAUUGAAAAAAAAAAAUUAGUUACUAGCUAGCUAGGUUCAUCCAACAACAAGAUGGCUACUUGAGUAGUACAACAUACACCAAGAUUCCCCUAUUUUGUGCAAAUUCCUCAAAACAUUCUUCCCUCCUCUCAUCUCCUUCUCAACCCAUCAUCAAAAUUCAUGGCAUAGCUAUAAGGAUCAUACUGGAACCUCACUUGCCGUCUGCUCCUCGCCGCUCGUAUUCUCCAGUACAUCCUUCUGCACUGCCUCUCAAUUCUCCCUACCCUUUCUAUCAGCCCCAUUUCCCCACAACUACUAUAUUUUCUACCUUUUCUUCGAGACAAGAAAAAGUAAUUUGAGUUUACAAAAGAGAUUUCUUGAAUAUAUAUGUAAGCAACAAAAAUGGAGGGCCUCAAUUAUUCCAUGAGAAAUUGGAAGAAAAAAAAAAAGAAAUAUAAUGGAGGUACAGACAAGAGAGAAUAUUUACAUUGAAGUAAUUUUUACACACAGUGAGUAGGCUCAUUCCACUAUCAAGAUUAGUUAUACAGUGGCAGCCAAACGCUCUCACACCUUUUCUUGAUUUCUAUACUUUUGAAAAACUUACCUACUAUUCAUCGCUAGCUAGUAAACAAAUUAAAAUUACUCUCACAGCUAUUACCCUCACCUUGUUUUUUUCUUGAUUUCUACUUUUGUGCUCCCUCCGUCCCAAUAAAUAUGGCUACCUUUUCAUUUUGGUUUGUCCCAUAAAAAUACCACUUCCUUAAAAUGGAAAUAUUUACUUUAAUUAAAUCUAAUUAAUUAAUCUGUGUAAUUAAACCUAAACCCUAAUUAAAUAAACUCACACACCAAAAACCACUCAAAAUUCACACUCAGCCCCUCCCCCACCCCAACCCCUGACCCCCGCCGCCCACCCCCCGCCGCCGCGCCGUCUGACCCCCGCCGCCGCCGCCGGCCUCUGCUCUCUCCCUCUCGCCACCCUCAUGCUUUCUCUCUCUCUCUCUCCCUCUGCUCUUUCCCUCUCUGCUCUCUCCCUCUGUUCCUCCUCGUCCACCACCUCCCACCACCGCUGACGGCGGCGCCUCCACCCCCACACCCUUCUCCGCCAUGGGAAACUGCAACGUCUUAUCCGAGCUCCCGAAGCCGACCUCCCAACUAGUCAAACUCAAUUGCUUUCUCAAGAACCUCGUCCAUGCCCACAGAUUCGCUGACACCCUCCAUCUCUUCCAACAAAUCCAUUCACUCCGCCGCCUCAAACCCGACCACUACACUCUCUCCACCGCCCUCACCGCCUGCGCCAACUCCCG
rnacentral:lncRNA from 1 species